rnacentral:rRNA from 1 species
AGAGUUUGAUCAUGGCUCAGGAUGAACGCUGGCGGCAUGCCUAAGACAUGCAAGUCGAACGAAGCGGCCCGUUGAAGCAGAGUACUUGUACGAAGUAGAUUCGGAUUUCCGCUUAGUGGCGCAAGGGUGAGUAACACGUGGGUAAUCUACCUCAGAGACUGGGAUAACGGUUGGAAACGAUCGCUAAUACCGGAUUAAAUUUAAGACGAUACGUUAUCUUAAAUUAAAAGGGAGCCUUUAAAGCUUCGCUUUGAGAUGAGCUUGCGGCGUAUUAGCUAGUUGGUGGGGUAAUGGCCUACCAAGGCAACGAUGCGUAGCCGACCUGAGAGGGUGAUCGGCCACAUUGGGACUGAGACACGGCCCAAACUCCUACGGGAGACAGCAGUUAGGAAUAUUCGUCAAUGGGGGAAACCCUGAACGAGCAAUGCCGCGUGAGUGAAGAAGGUCCUUUGGAUUGUAAAACUCUGUUGUUAGGGAAGAACGGCCUAUGUAGGAAAUGACAUAGGAGUGACGGUACCUUUCAAGAAAGCUCCGGCUAACUACGUGCCAGCGGCCGCGGUAAUACGUAGGGAGCGAGCGUUAUCCGGAAUUAUUGGGUGUAAAGGGUGCGUAGGCGGAAGAAUUAGUCUAAAGUCUAAGGUUGGAGCUCAACUCCAGUUUGCUUUAGAAACUGUUUUUCUUGAGUAUGGUAGAGGCAAGUGGAAUUUCUAGUGUAGCGGUAGAAUGCGUAGAUAUUAGAAGGAACACCAGUGGCGAAGGCGACUUGCUGGGCCAUCACUGACGCUGAGGCACGAAAGCGU